ensembl:rRNA 5S_rRNA 5S ribosomal RNA
AUUAGCGGCAGCUAGUUCUAUGCAACUCUAACAUGGUCGCCCACUGAAGCUAAGCAGGGCUGCACCCGGUCAGUACCUGGAUGGGAGACCAAAUGGGAAAGCUAGAUUGCUGCCAGAA